AGUAGAUUGAUCUCAGCAGGAAUGAUAUUAAGAGGCCUAGUUUUAGAAUCAAAUUUCUAUCGGGGAGGAUAAUGCAGAGGGGAAGGAAGAGACAAUUGAUUAAACAACCCAGGAAAUUUUGGAUGUGACUCCAAAUACCUGAAAACCAAAUUCAGUGGAAAGGCAACUCCUGUUCCAGUUACUCCAUCAUGGCUUGAAGCAGAAAAGGAAUUUUCAGUUUGGAAAAUAUAAAUUACUUGAGAAGAUCCUCAAACUGCCAUGGUUAAUCUGCAUAUUUCAGAGAUAUUUUAGGCAUAUAAAUUAUUGUUUUUGUUUUAUACAUUUCUGUGUCCACUUACUAGGGAUUACAUUGUCUUCCCAUAUGCAUGUGGAAUCAGGUAUUCAUUCCAGCUUCUUAUCUUCCACCUUUCUUCCUUAUUAGAUUUUCUUGGGCUCUAUGUUAAUCCUCAUAUUUAGCUGCAAUAAAAGUUCCCUUCUGUAUUUGAAUAGCAUGUGAAUAUUAUUCUACAAGCCUUACAACCUUUGUUUUGUAAACUCCUUUGCUACUGAAGUGUACUGCCAUUUAGCACUCUACAUAUUUGUGAGCUCUUUCUGCAUACUAGGUUUGAUUGUCUUUAAGUUUUCACUUUAUGCUACAUUUUGUUCUUGGCCAAUUGCCCUCUGAGGAGUCUUAAGUUUUGAUUCCAUCCAUGAUCAGAAGGCAGGAGCCUCAGCCUUUACUACUAAUAUUAUUCUCUUUGAAGGUCUUUAAAGUAUAAUGGAAAAAACAAGAGCACUGGAGCUGGAU
rnacentral:lncRNA from 1 species